UACGUAGGGUGCGAGCGUUAAUCGGAAUUACUGGGCGUAAAGCGUGCGUAGGCGGUUGGCAAAGUCAGCUGUGAAAGCCCCGGGCUUAACCUGGGAAUGGCGGUUGAAACUACUCGGCUAGAGUCCGGAAGAGGAGAGUGGAAUUCCUGGUGUAGCGGUGAAAUGCGCAGAUAUCAGGAAGAACACCGAUGGCGAAAGCAGCUCUCUGGGACGGUACUGACGCUGAGGCGCGAAAGCGUGGGGAGCGAACAGG
rnacentral:rRNA from 1 species